GGUUGACCUCGGAUCAGGUAGGGAUACCCGCUGAACUUAAGCAUAUCAAUAAGCGGAGGAAAAGAAACCAACAGGGAUUGCCUUAGUAACGGCGAGUGAAGCGGCAACAGCUCAAAUUUGAAAGCUGGCCCUUUCAGGGUCCGCAUUGUAAUUUGUAGAGGAUGAUUCGGCGAGGGCUCCCGCCUAAGUCCCCUGGAACGGGGCGUCAUAGAGGGUGAGAAUCCCGUAUGCGGUGGGCUGCCUUAGCCAUGUGAAUCUCCUUCGACGAGUCGAGUUGUUUGGGAAUGCAGCUCUAAAUGGGAGGUAAAUUUCUUCUAAAGCUAAAUACCGGCCAGAGACCGAUAGCGCACAAGUAGAGUGAUCGAAAGAUGAAAAGCACUUUGGAAAGAGAGUUAAAAAGUACGUGAAAUUGUUGAAAGGGAAGCGCUUGCAACCAGACUUGUCCGCAGUUGCUCAGCCGGUCUCCUGACCGGCGUACUCUUCUGCGGCCAGGCCAGCAUCAGUUCGGGCGGUCGGAUAAAGACCUCGGGAAUGUAGCUCCUCUCGGGGAGUGUUAUAGCCCGGGGUGGAAUGCGGCCAGCCUGGACUGAGGAUCUCGCUUCGGCAAGGAUGCUGGCGUAAUGGUUGUAAGCGGCCCGUCUUGAAACACGGACCAAGGAGUCUAACAUCUAUGCGAGUGUUUGGGUGUCAAACCCAUACGCGUAAUGAAAGUGAACGGAGGUGGGAACCCGCAAGGGUGCACCAUCGGCCGAUCCUGAUGUCUUCGGAUGGAUUUGAGCAAGAGCAUAGCUGUUGGGACCCGAAAGAUGGUGAACUAUGCCUGAAUAGGGUGAAGCCAGAGGAAACUCUGGUGGAGGCUCGCAGCGGUUCUGACGUGCAAAUCGAUCGUCAAAUUUGGGUAUAGGGGCGAAAGACUAAUCGAACCAUCUAGUAGCUGGUUCCUGCCGAAGUUUCCC
rnacentral:rRNA from 1 species